CUAAUUCAAGGAAGGAGAGGCACUUAUAGCCCUCUCACCACCCUGAACAACUCCACCAGACAUGAACUUUUACAAUACGGAGCUGUCUGUUUCAGGAAAGGAAAGGCCAGAGUUUCGCUGUUCUGAGUCCAAGUCAACUGAAGGCACAGUCAUUUGAGUCCUCCUGAUGCCCCCAACAGAGACAGGGUUCCUUCUGCCUGCAGAUGCUAAAACUAGGAAGCAUUUUAUUGUUUUCCCUUUCUUGCUUUGUAAUGUAUUGUUUUGCUUUCCUUAUUGAAUUGCUGGGACUCACCAGCUUAAGGUGCAGCAAAAGUUCAGUCUUCCUGAUCAAAGAAACUGAAGAAGACUCAAUACUGAAAGCACUCAUCUUCAUGCUUUGGAACUAUCUGUACCUUGAGUUUGACAUGCCCCUUUUAUUUUGCCCUUUACCCAUUUUAUUGUCAAAAUAUUUCAAAACAAAAGAGAAAAAUAAUCCAUACAUUAAAAAAUAAAAACAAAAACUGUAUCUUA